rnacentral:tmRNA from 2 species
GGGGCUGACUUGGAUUUCGACAGAUUUCUUGUCGCACAGAUAGCAUGCCAAGCGCUGCUUGUAAAACAGCAACAAAAAUAACUGUAAACAACGCAGAUUACGCUCCAGCUUACGCUAAAGCUGCGUGAGUUAAUCUCCUUUUGGAGCUGGACUGAUUAGAAUUUCUAGCGUUUUAAUCACUCCAUAACCUUAAGCUAGACGCUUUUAAAAGGUGGUUCGCCUUUUAAACUAAGAAACAAGAACUCUUGAAACUACCUCAAGGUUUUAGAAAGUUGGACCAGAGCUAGUUUUAAGGCUAAAAAACCAACCAAUUUUCUAAGCAUUGUAGAAGUUUGUGUUUAGGGCAAGAUUUUUGGACUGGGGUUCGAUUCCCCACAGCUCCACCA